rnacentral:lncRNA from 1 species
AUAGUACAGCCUUGGAAAGGUACCGGGCACACUGUGCAAGGAGCUUGGCUUUCAGAGGAUCGUGCAUUCUGCGAAAGCAGGGGUAGGACCCGUUUUGAUCAGUUCAGUAGCAUCUGUAGCGAAAUACAGGAGGUAACAUUCCCCCGACCCCCCCCCCCAAGCCUCUUCAGUUGAAUUCAUUUGUUUCUAGGUGGCUCAGAUGUGUAUAAUUUUUUUAGAAGAUAUAAGUCUUGGGCACAGGGGGGGCUUGCAUUGUUCAGCUGCUCAGCGAUAACAGCCUUUUGGCGGGGCCUAGUCUUUAAUUGGCUGGAUGGGGAUUGAACCAGCAGGUCUGGUCUAUUCACAGUGCCAUAGGUGGCUAUAAUCUCUACUUGUUGGAUAAAAUGAAGAAGAUGAAAGCACAUCUAGGAAGUCUGAUGUAUUAAAAAAAAUCUUUUAGUACCUUCUCUAGAAUCAGCAUGCAUUCAUUGUUCGUUAGGAGAAGAGAAAGAUGUUGAUUUAUAUCUUGGCUCAGGUGAGGCCAAAAAUAAAGAGUUUUCUGGCUUGAAUUGAUUUGACACCUGUUUCUUGAAUUGUGUUCACAGGUUUUUGGAGUUAAUUGUUAUAGGAAAAUAAUAAAGAGAAGAAAUUAUUUGGGCAUCUUUUUUUGUUCUCGGUGUAAUUGUUUCAAGGUUUAUAUUAGAGAAUGACCCCCAAAUAUGUAGUCUAUAUUAUUUGCAGCAAAUGUAAGCUUUAGUACUUUGUGAUUUGUGCUCAAAAAAGGGUAGUCUUAACCAAUCAUGGGACAGGAAAAGUGUGUCGUUUUUAAAGCUUUCAACUCUAGUUUCAGUUCUUGUUUUAAAGCAAUAGCUGCUGACCUCUUGUUUCCUUUCACAUAAGUGGGAAAUUUGCAUAACUUCUAACAUGACCACAAUGAUUUUCUCUUGCAUAUAUGCCUCUUGGAUGGAGGUUUAUAAAAUGAUUUAAUUGGAAUUCAAACAAAAUUUAACUGGAGGAUCAGACUGAAAGGGAUGAAUGAAGAUGAGAGGGAAAUUAGGAAUUGAAAUGUGUGUGCGUGUGUGUUUUAUGACCUUACUCUAGGGCCAGAAUAUUGUGGAAAAUGGUUUAUUUAUUUAUUUAUUAUUUUUUAAUUUUUUUGUCUUUUUGCCAUUUCUUGGGCCGCUCCCGCGGCAUAUGGAGGUUCCCAGGCUAGGGGUCAAAUCGGAGCUGUAGCUGCCAGCCUACGCCAGAGCCACAGCAACGCGGGAUCCGAGCCGCGUCUGCGACCUACACCACAGCUCACGGAAACGCCGGAUCGUUAACCCACUGAGCAAGGGCAGGGACCGAACCCGCAACCUCAUGGUUCCUAGUCGGAUUCGUUAACCACUGCGCCAUAACGGGAACUCCUGGAAAAUGGUUUAUUGAGAGAUAUAGAACACUACACUAAAGUGAAAGUAGGGAGGGAAAUGCAGAAAAAUGGGAGCAGGGUUGAAUUGUGUUGCUAAAACUUUUAUAAUAAUAUGACUCAACAGUUCAUUCAUCACUCUUUCUUACAGGUAAUGCAUUUAAAAUGCUAACUAAUACAACUUCGAAGUCACUAUAGUUGACAUAUAACACUGUGGGGUGAAGAAGGUGGAUGAGCUCUCCGUGACUGCAUAUAAGUAGAGAAAGUUUAUUGGGAGUCAUCAUGCUCACGUUUACCCUCCUUCUCAUCAGCUUCCAUGUGAAACCAAAAGCUUGUCCAGAAUAUAUUUGUCAUGGCAUUGUCUACUCCCAGUAUUUUGUUACCCUGCUGUAAAAUCAAACAUAAUCCUGCUACCAGCAGAGAGACAGAGGGAAAUGAUAAUUCAAUAGCAUAUUUGAAAGAGAAUUGGAAAUAAGGUCAGAGGGGAAAAAAAAAACCACAAAAUUAUUCAUUGAUGUCCUUAAUUUGUGCCAUCUAACUUAGAGAUGGCAGAUGUUGUAUGAUGUCAUCUACAACUAAACAUGGGGAGGGAAAUGUAUGUUUAAUAGGUGUUGGAAGAAGCCAUGGAGAGGACGGCGCCCACAGGGUGACCCAUGAGCUUGAUGCAGGUCAUUGGAGGCUCCUUACCCCUUGGAAUGUACCUUCUGCACACUAUUCCCACAGCCCAAGCCAUUUUCAAGGGCAUAGCCUUGAGAGAGUUAGGUACUGUUGAGGUCAACUGGGUGGUUUGGAGGAGGCUGAACCUAGUUAAAGCCUCUCUGUAAACUUUUAAGAAUCUGGCAGGUGGGUGGGGGAUCUACUCUUCUCGCCCAAGGCAGACCUUGUAUGUAAGAUCCUUUGCUUAUCAUACUGGCACCCAUCAACCUGGAGGGGUUCACCUCUUUCUUUGGUCUCUCAUUGUCCUCCAUGUAUAGGGCCUGGUUUUAAAUUUCUCCUGGGAAGUUCCCAAGUUUGGGAAUUAGCAGUAGUACAGUGAAGAAUACUUUUCACUUUUGUAUUGUUUGUUGGAUGUAUCAGGGCUCCAGUUCAUUUUGUGUUCAUUAAGGAUAAGGCAAACUCCUAUUACUAAAUUCCACAAGGAUAGUAGUGAAAAGUCCAUUUAUUCUAAGCCCAAGAAAAGGUUUUUAUGGCACAAGGCAUUAUUCUAUUUUCUCCAUGUUUUUAUAUGUAAGAAGCUUUUAAGCAAAUGAUAUGGUGAAGUGUUAAAAUUCAACAACCCUCUUCCCAUCCCUGUACUGUUUUUUUCUUCCUGGCCAAUGCUUGUGCAAAGGUUCAUAAAGUGAGGCUACAGAUGGUUUGUAAAUUAAUGAGCCAUGCAAUAUAAAACAUGUAUGCAAGAUUUCCAGGGAAUCAUAGACCAGACAGUGGCUGAAUUUUUUGAAGAUACAUUUCUGGGCUUAAAGUAUAUGGUCCUUCUUAAUCUUUUUGGUCCUUUUAUUUGUUUUUCUUAUCCUGUUUUUCUGUAACAUGUAGAUAAUGUUUCCUUUCGAUAUUUCAUUUCAGAGUGUGCUUGCUUAAUGGCCUCUUUUCUUAGAGACCUUGAACAGAUGAGAGAGAGACGGGGGAAGAGAGAAAGAGAAGGGGAUUGAUUUAGAGGGAAGGUGAGAAAGUGAGUGUUUAAUUUCUUCAGUUUACCACCCUUAAAAAUAUUUUCAAGUUAUAUAACUACAUCUCUCGCUACAAGUUUAUUUACCCUUGGGCAUUAAAUUACCUACUUUUCGCAAAACUCUUCAUUUGGUAAAAGGUCCUAAGGUCUUUUCUCAAUUUGCAUCGUCCCAAACUCACUGCAAUGCCUCAUGCUGUUUCUCAACACUCCUUCUAAGACAAUGAGCCUUGAGAGCAGGGCCUUGUGUGGUGCCCACCACUGUGUUCCAGCAUCUAGCAUGCAGCCAGUUAUAUAAUGUUUGUUUAGUGACAGAUAUUUCUAGAAUGAAUGAGGUUUCCUCCCAUGCAUUCUGAGACACUGCAUUAUUCUCUUUCCUCCUAGUUCUCUCAGAUCUCAUUUUCUGACCCUUAGUUCUUCCUUUGCCCAUUUGGUGCAACUCUGCACCAAGUUCUGUCUUCAUUCUCUCUUCUCUCUCCCUAACAGUCUGUGGUUUUGUUGCAUCUUACCUGGAUGCAGAGGACUCCUGAGUCUUUAGCUCAGGCCCAGUCCCUUUCUAAGAUGCCAGAUGGGCACUUUCAUGCCCUAUUGUCAGACCCAUCAGUAAGUUUUAUCAGCACCUCAAAGUCAACAUGUCAGAAAAGACAUAUCCUCUCUUCUAAGAACACUUGAUUGUUGAAAUUUUGACAAUGGUGACAUCUUUUGAGGCAUUUUUAAAAAUAAAGCAAAAGUAUUUCCUCUCUAUGGUACUUCACAUCUUGAUUAUUUCCUUGCCUUCCAUGUGAAAUCAAUCACCAAGCCUCAUGAGUCUCUUCUAGCUUUUAUGUCUAGCUCCUCCUCCAGUUCCCAUUGUACCAUUCAAAGUUACUUCCUAGGCCAUCAUAGUUGUCUCCUAUUUGCCCUAAGAGCCACUCUCUACCUAACCAAAUAAAUUCACUAAAACCUGAUUUGAGUCAGACCAUUCUCUCGUUCAAAACCUUUUAAUAACUUCCCAUUACUUAUAGAACAAAAAACAUUAUUUUCUUAGUUUGAUGGUCAAGUCUUCCAUGAUAGGGUGGCAAUCCUCUAUCCCAACAUUAUCUUCCAGGAUUCUUCUCAAUCUAUACCUUAAACUGCUAAACUGAACUCUCCCCUAGUUCCCACAUAUAGCUCAUGUUGUACCUACAGCUUAGAAUGAACCUCCUGCCCUGACAUAACCCACUGAACAUUGUUGACUGUUUAACACUGAACACAUCCUUCAAGACUCAUCUUAAAUGCAAUGUCUUUCUCAGUGCAGCCUUACUGAUUUUUUCUUGCCUUCUCCCCAAAGAAUUAUCCUAUGACUUUUCCUUUUAUUUUGACUCAUAUCUGAAUGACAAGGCAGAAUAAACCUUGUCUAUUUGUUUUCUUUGCAGUCUUAAGUUGUAAUUCCUUGAUGGUGGGUACCAAACUUGAAUUACUAAUUUUUGUACCCCUGCUAAUGACUGGCACAAUGCUUCAGAGAACAGUAGGUCCUUAAAACAUAAUUAUGGAAAUGAAACAUCAUUUGCCAGUGGUUGACCUAUCAAAGACCCAUACAGUUCACAUCUGAUGGCUUGUUAAGGCAUCUACUUGAAGUGGUGGUGUUUUGGCUUUCUGUCUUUUGCAUUCAAUGGGCCAAGCCUAUGAGUAGAGUAAUGUGACACCAAGACAGUAUUCCCCAGAACUGUGCAUGCUCCUUCAUCUAUAAUGCAUGGCUAGGAGAGUGUCCACCAUUUCUGAAGAAGAGCUUAAUAAGUAACCAGUGUUUGUGUGUUUAGAGCAACAGUCAGUGUCAUCUUUGGAUUUUGUUGCUAUGACUCUCCCUCAUCUUUAAUACCUUCCAGACCCAUCACCUCCUGGGUCAGUUCAGGGGUCCCUCAGUGAGUGAUUUUCACCUCCUGUGGCUCCCUUCCCUAUAAAAUAGUGGAAAUAUGAGUUACAUACUCCCUCUGAAUCAUGAUUAUGAUUGCCAAUAGUAGCCUGAGGUAGUGUCACAGAGAAUAGUCUUCUUAACAUUUGCCAGCCCAGAGCCUAAAUGGCUAUGCCGCCAUGUCUAUCAUUGUUAUCGUCAUUAUCUUCAGGAGAGGAUAAAUCUUUUCAGGAUAGCAGUGGCCAUGGGAAGGAAUGGAAAAUUUUUAAAAAUUGAGACAUCAUUCAGUGCGUACAUACCCAUUUCCUUAGGUGCAUUUUCUUUCAUUUCAGACCUCAUGGAAUCAGGCUGUGUUGGGAGGGAAUUAGAAGAACUGUGGAAAUCAUGGUGGGGCUGAGAUGAGGUUCAGCUCUUUUACUCUCACCACUGGGGCUGUCUCCCUUCUUGCUCAGUCACUGCUAUAGGCUGCUCAAUACACAUGUAUUUGUGUAUAAGAUUAGAAACUCUGAAAACAGACACUCAAGUGUUUAAACAUGUAAGUUCUCCAGACACUCUGACAAUCUAAUGAACACUUUGAACAUGGAUAUAAAGAUAACGUUUGCCAUAUUGAGCACUUGGCCUUCAUGCUCAACAUGUUAAGGGCUGACUUUGCUUCCCCAAUGGACACAGCCCGUGUGGUUGAAUGGCUCUCCCACUGGAGAUAGGUUGUCUCUUUGGAUAUAUCAUUGACCUUUCAGAAACUCCUCUCUGCUACAUAUUCUACAACAGUUAUUUUUUAGGUAAAAACAAGUAGUCGAUCUAUUUUAUAAUAACAGUGCAUGACUUUAUAGUUACCUGGAUUCGGACUGCCUCAGUUAGAGAAAUGUUCUCUCAGGUAUUCAGGCAGCAUCUGCUCUUGAAUAGUGACUAAAAAGUCUUUAGGGAAUUAGAACUGGCAAUUUUUUUAUAGGCCUUUACUUUAAAAGAGGUCUUGGAGAAGAAAUAGACAUCAUCUCCAGAUGUGAAGACUUCUUAAUGUUUGAAAGAUCUUUUGAGUAAAGCAGUUUAUUUAAAAAAUGACAUAAUCUGCAGCCCAAAUAGCAAUUAAAACAAAUUUGACCAAUAUAGUAGUCACUACAGUCUAAUGCCUGUGAGCUUUCUGUUUCUCUGUCUUCAUUGUAAUAGAGCCUUCUCAUGGUGUUACAGAUACUAAAGUGCCCUCAAGAAUAUCCCCAAAUACCAUUUUUCCCCCUCAGGGAAGACUUGACUUGCAAAAGUCUUCAUGAACUUCAGACUAAAAUUGGGUAAAAAUAGCACACCUAACUAUUAAACUGAUCUACAUCUCAGUAUGGAUAUCCUGCCAGGGCCUUUAUUUUGCAUUGUGACUUUUUGUACUUUAAAUUUUCAUUAGAUUAGCUUGAGAAACCACUUACAAACAUUUUGGUCUAGCCCAUACUUUUAAUCUAUGUUUUGUAUGUGGUAAGUGCUCCAGAGAGGUGUUGAAUGAGUAAAAGGAUCCUAGGAGAUCCCAUUGUGAUGCAACAGAAACAAAUCCAACUAGUAAUCCAUGAGGAUGCAGGUUUGAUCCCUGACCUCACUCAGUGGGUCGGGGAUCUUGUGUUGCCUUGAGCUGUGGGGUAGGUUGUAAAUGCGGCUCAGAUCCCAUGUGGCUGUGGGGUAGGGUGGCAGCUAAAGCUCAGAUUCAAACCCUAGCCUGGGAACUUCCAUAUGCCACCAGUACAGCCCUAAAAAAAAA